rnacentral:tRNA from 1 species
AAGGAGUUAGUUAAUUUAUAACAUUAGAAUGUCAAUCUAAAAUAACUAAAAUACUAGUACACCUUG